AGGCCUGGUUCAUACAUUUCUACGUCUUUGCUGCCCUCUGGUCGGUGGCCGGAUUUGCCGUCAUGAUGUAGCCAGCGCGGGACUACGUAAUCGCCUUCCUCGAUACGUUGGCAACCAACAAGCGUACGGUGCGCACCACGCCUACCGAGACGAUGGUUGCUAUGACGCUGAUCACGCUGCAGUGUUUGCGCCGGUUCUACGAGACCUGGUUCGUGCAGGUGUUCUCGAGCGAGCUGAAAAUCAUCACCCACGUACCACGAAAAACAUUCACAACUAUCCGAAGCAAAGGAAAGCACUCGUCCCAUUCGUUCUGUGAGAUCGACGGUGAGGGUGCGGAUAAUAUCGUUCCGGUUGUUGGGCUUUUUUAGGAUCGAAAAAAUGGUAUGGUUGGUGUCCGGCUUUUUUUAGGUUGCUGGUUCCCGGCUGAUGGGAUUCAUCUGGUUUUCCUGGAUCUUCUGUGAAUGCCUUGUUCCACGGACCGGUCGUCGAUGCACUCGAGGUGCACCGCAUUGACGAGCGGCAGUAGCAGGAUGCAAUCGGCGCGGCCGAGCUGGCAGCGAAGCCGGUUCUCGGUGAGCCAUUCACGCCGAAUGAGGGCGGUCAAGAGCCGGCUGCAUACGUUCGAUAUAUUCGCUACGCGCACGAUCAAACUGUGUAACGAUGCCGAGUGUGUCCGGCCAUCGCGACUAGAAGCAUAGCGGAAGUUAAGUUGCGUCGUCUAUUGUGACACCUUUUCAUCAACAACUGGCAUGACUAUCGGCGCACGGUCGGUGGCUCUAGCGAAGGGGAGGGUGCGUUCCAAUCGGCUGGCAGGACACAGAUCGGAUCGGUUAGGACAACGAUCGGCAUAGUACGGCUCGCGACCCGCAUGUGGCUAUUUGUUGACUAGUUGCCUCUUCAAGUGCAAAUCUACGAACAUGUUUAGAAGAUUUGGCUCUUUCGGUCGCAACGUUUGCCGAGUCGCUGGGGAUAUUGGAUUGUAAGGAAUGAAUAUACUAUCCGCAGGAACCAGAUGAUGACAUCACCAAGGAGCUAAUGCGCUAAAGCUUAUCAGAAGGAGGCGAGAAUGGUUUGAUGUUUUUGGCACAGCUCCCACGUAUCAUCCAUACCACACCAAAUCAUUAUGGCGCAGCCGUGAAUAUGUACAACGUCAUCCUGCUCGGGUAGGAUGGUGACGGUCUCCCGCUCGGUAUAUCUUGACGGCAGUAUAACGCAAGGCAUAUAGUAAUAAUAGUAUACAUAUAGUUUCAGUACGUUUAAUAAGUGUAAAGAAUGCUAAUAUCUUUGUUUCUUUUUCAAAUUUUCAGAUUCAAAUGAACAAUAUACAAGGUGCACUAAACAUACACUGGACUCUGUUUGGAACGGGUCUAGUAAAAGUAUUUGUUAUUGGUGCGUGCAUAUUAUUAUGUGCACCUAUUUUAUUUUUCCUAUCUUGUUACCGAUCGAACCGACCGAACCCAGUAGAAUAAAAAAUAUGAUUACAUUACAUAUUCCAAA